GACAGAGGGGGCAAGCGUUGCUCGGAAUUACUGGGCGUAAAGGGCGCGUAGGCGGCCAACUAAGUCACACGUGAAAUCCCCAGGCUUAACCUGGGAACUGCGUGUGAUACUGGAUGGCUUGAAUUCGGGAGAGGGAUGCAGAAUUCCAGGUGUAGCGGUGAAAUGCGUAGAUAUCUGGAGGAAUACCGGUGGCGAAGGCGGCAUCCUGGACCGACAUUGACGCUGAGGCGCGAAAGCUAGGGGAGCAAACGGG
rnacentral:rRNA from 1 species